AUGAAGACAUCCAUGGGAGCUUUUAUCUUGUUCUCGUGGCUGCAGCUGAACUGGUUCAGCCAGGGAGAGAAUGUGGAGCAGCAUCCUCCUACCCUGAGUGUCCAGGAGGGAAGCAGCUCUGUUAUCAACUGCAGUUAUUCAGACAGUACCUCAGACUACUUCCCCUGGUAUAAGCAAGAACCUGGAAAAGGUCCCCUGCUCCUUACAUACGUUCAUUCAACUGUGGCCACAAAAGAAGACCAAAGACUCACUCUCUCACUGAAUGAGAUGGCCAAAAGUUUCUCCCUGUGCAUCAGAGACACCCAUCCUGAAGACUCAGCUGUGUACUUCUGUGCAGCAAGAUCCAGUAUUGCCCAGAAGGUAGCUUGA